CCACGUGUUUGACUUCUUUGAGUUUGAGCUUCUCGUUCUUUUGUUCCUUGACUUCCUCCUUAUGCCGAUCAUCAUCGCAGCCGAUCACUCUGGCUUAUGACUCCACAGAAAUUGGUUCUCGCUGGGUUGACCAUAUGGAAAAAGAUGGACCAUUAGAUCAAUCAAACUUAUGUACCUAGAUCAGUUGCUUAUCGUUGGGAAUGGGGCAAGCUUGAUGAUGCUUCAUCUAACCAUGGAUGCUCUACUAUUCAUGAUCUAACGGGAAAGGAGCUAAUUCUAGUGAGACUCAAGUAUCCGAAGAUGUUGAUUUGACUCUAACGACUAACACAGAGACACUGGAACAAGACGAUGACUGACUAAAGAAGCUGAGGCCUCAACACAAAAUGGCCUCAUGUUGUUAUUGUAAAGGAAUCACUGCAGCAGUAAGUGUCCUUACAAGGAUACUCUUGGUGUUAUGACUGAGGAGUCCCUAACGAGCUUGGAUUCUUAAUUGAGUGAAUAUUUUAAAAUUACCAGCUAUACAGUAUUUAUCUUGAUAAAAUUUCGAGUAGAAGAGCUACAUGUAAAACUUGGCAGACUACAAUUGAUGGACUUCAAGAUGUUGAUGUUUCAGAAUUUGUUCAAGGGAAGGUGCUCGUUGAAGUCGUUGCCGUUACGUUAGUUACAAGGAGCCAUGCCCACUUGAAACAGACGAGGGAGAUGAUGUUAGCAGGUGUUGCGUUGAAGCUAAAGCUAGUAACAUACUGUGUGAUGUAAUUAUGAUGUCAUGAACUUUAGAUAAAAAUAAAGUCUUGUAUUGAUAGUGUCAGUGCCUAUAUUGAUUGCUCUUUUACUCAAAUUUUACAUGUUAAUCAGUAUUCAGGAGGUUAUUUGACCUUUGUGUGUUCCCGUGACCUUUUGGCCUUUCAAACUGAAGCACAUCAUGACCCACAGGAUUGAAUUGAUCACACCUUCUCUCUACCUCUCGGACUUUCUGCAUCACAAGAUAGACAGCAUAAGGUCACUGCAGUAUUUGAUAGUCUUUCCAAUUCAUCUGAAGUAUGACAACCAUUGGAGCUUUAAACCUUUAUUAACAUAAUGGAAGUGUCUUAUGGUAUCAUGAAUAUCCUACAAAUAUGGAGUCUCUGUGAGUAAUAUUAAAGCAGUACUUUAAAGGUGUAUUUAUAGCCAAGUGGAGGGUAAUUGCUUUCCCUGCCUCCUCCUAAAUGAAACUCAGCUAGGAAGUUGCAUAGGAUUCUUGAGCCUAAAAACGUAUGGGCACUCAAGACCUUGAUAAACACAGAUGUACAUGUAAUUCAGACAUUCAAGUCAACAAAUAUUAUUGUAAUGUUAGUGUACAUUAUUAUUAUUAUUAUUAUUAUUAAUAGUGAUCAAUAUGUUAGAUGCAUUGUUAUCAUUGGUAAUAUGUAUUAUAUUAAUGACGUCAUUAUGAUAUAUAUAAUUGAUUGUUAAUAAUUGAUCUUGUGUGAGUUUUUGGGUUCAUGAUGCUUGGUUAAGAUUGA